CUUUGAUUAUUUAUAACAAAAUGCCAUUGCAACAUCCUGCGGUGGGAUCAGACAGCAAAACGUCAACUGCGAUCAGCUAUAGUCCAAUAAGCAGCCUGAGAUCCUUCCCAGUGUACAGUGGGGUAGGGGCACUGCUCACUCACGUCUAUAACACUACACUACACCAGAGCUGCUGGCUGCAGGGCUGGCUAUGUCUCUGCUCCUCUACUAGCACCAGCCAACUUGGAGGCUAGCUAGGGCAAGGCAGAGGCACAGACGGUGCCAGGCAGAAGGGGGCGCGGGGCGCGACACACAGCUAGCCAGCCUAUGGGAGAUGUUAAGAGCAAUUAAUCAGCUUUUAGAGUCAAUUAACCCGUAUGUUAAUUAAUGUCAAGCCUAUAGAACAAAAGGGGGAUUCGGGCGGAGAAGAAGGGGAGGGUAAGAGAGAGAGAGACAGAAGAGAGGGGGUGGGCGAGCGAGAGAAACAAGCAGCGAAUGCAGAUGAUGGCAGAGAGAAGCUGGCACAGUGCCAUCCAUUCAGUGGUAGCGCCAGGGCGGACUCGCGUUCGCUCUCGGGGGUAGGCGGCUAGAUGUAGACAGAGAGACGAAAAGACCCCCGCCUGAUUUGGUAGCUAGUGCCAUGCCAGUGGUGGGACUUUAUUGGGGAGGGUGGGUGUUUUACAAAUAGUAGAAGUUUGAGUGCGGAUGCGGAUGGGGUUCUGGAGCUAAGGCUCAACGUCACCGCAGAGGAGAAGAGGAGAACAUCUGCUGCCCCAGUUUACAGAAGAAAGGAGCCUUCAGACGACAGGAAGAGAAGAGCGGCGCACCUGGAGGAAUUUCAGGGGACAUCUUGAGGGUUGGUAUGGAGCGCUUGGCAUAGCAUGGUGGCAAGGAGUGGGGGGAGGACGUAUCGGCUUGAAAACAAAAAACAAAAGACGAUAGGUGGCCCACAGCGCAGGAUGCCAGGGGGCUGGCGAAGGAGCCAGGGACCAGGGCAGAUGAAGGAAAUGGGCUCUGCCACAAGGGACUGGUGGGGGAAGUGGACAUUUGAGAACAACCAACACAGAGAAACUUGCAGCUUGUGGUGUUGUCCUAGAGAUGACUGGGGGGUGGGACAAAAAUAAGCGCCUCCCUCUCUCUCUCUCUCUCGCUUGCUCUCCCUUCUCAAGCACAACCCCCUGUGCCAGGCAACCAACCAGCCAGACAGGCAGCGUACGCCAUGCCAACCUGCUCAUCGGCAGUCACGGCGCACCCUAGGAAAACACAGGCGAUGAAAAGGCACCAUGUCUAUCUGGAAGGUGGCGUUUACGGAUUUGCAGGAAAGUCAUCGCUUCUGAGGAUGCCCGAGGAGCGGCGGUGAUUCGGUACCCACGAUCUUCGAGAGGUGUACCAGCGGGAACGCGGUGGCAUCUGUCGCGGAAAAAUGGAAGGGGGCGAGAGAUGGUACACAACGAUCAAGAGCAAAUCAACACGAUUGGGCACCCGUCGCGGGUCGCUUGGCAAAGAUAAAGAAAGCCAAGUCCAAACAAAGACCAUCAAGUGCUUCAAAUGGCUAAUUAGAACAACAAAAGUUUGCUCUGUUAAUUAGCGCGACGGAUGAAAUGAAAGGAACGGGAAAGAUUACAAACAAAACAAAGCGGGGGAAAACAAGACAAAACAAAAGCGGCAAGCUGUUCUGUGGGGAGGGGAGGAUGCGAAGCUGGUGCCUGUGCUAACCCCCCCCAUCCCCCCUCCACACCAUUUUCCCUCAGCUCUCACCAAGCUGGCUGGCAGGCACUGCGGUGAGGAAUGUCUACCAUGGGCACUGCUGCCUGCCUCCCUGCCGCAGAUGCUGCCAACCUGCCAAUCGCCUGCCUGCCAGCCACAAGAGGGGAGGGAGGAAGAAAGGACCUGAGGGACUGUGCCAAGGUCUCAACAGCAGCUGUUUACAAAGACACACACACACAAAAAGAAAAAAAACUGCAAACAUGAGGAUGCAUACUAAUGAACCGCCAACACAAAAUAUAAUCAGCAGACAGACAGGAAUUCAUUUACUUUUCUCUCUGCGUUCGUUUAAAUUGCACUUUUUGUUUUUCGCCAACAAAAAACGUAUCGCUCAUCAUGGUUUCCUCCAGCAAUCACCAGGGAGAUGAAUGGCUCAGGCUGUAGGCUCCAUACAGCAUCCACCAGUAUGGGAACCAGACUGAGGCGAGGGGGAUGCCACACAGACAACAGACAUGCUGGAAAUCAGUGGAGGGGGCAGGGGCACAGGAGGCAGGGGGACAGGAGCAGCAGCCCCGGCCACAGACACACACACUGGUGGGGUGGGGAGGAGAUACCCUACCCCAGCCAGCCUGCCUGUAACUCUGCCAGGCGGGGGUAGGGGGGCCUUGGGAACACUUUCGGCACCCCCUCACCCACGCUUUUUAGUUUGCCCCCUCCUUGCCAACCAACCAAAGGAACUACCAAACUCCACCCUUCCAGUGUUUUUAUUGGCGUAAAGUGGAAGGGGUAAACUAUGAGGAACAGAUGCAGAUGGGGUACCAACCGGUUCGGGUCGCGGGUCUUGGUACUUACGGGGUCCGGAGGAACGUUGCCGUGGUUCCCGCGAGGUCCACUGGCAUCGGGCACAGAGCCAAGGAUAGGCGCCGCUGCAAACAGACAGAUUGGAGGGUUUCGUUAAGUUCACUAAUUGCACCGGAAUAAUUAUAACAUUUAGCAAGGAAGAAAUCAACAUCAGCCAUCAGCCAUCACAAAUGGAUAUCCCAAACUUUUCCCCUCUUGUUGGAUUUUUGUUGGACAACAGGGCACGGUUGUGGAAUAUGAAUAAUUGAAGAAGCCAUCCAAAGGGAGGGAUUAUAAGAUCUUUGUGCUUCCUACACUGUCUUGGCAUACACCACCAAGAUGUCAGAGCCAGGCUGCCACCAGUAAGGAUAGGCUGGUAUGGAUGGUGGCAUCUUUUUGGGCAUCUAAGCUGCGGUCGCUUAAACCGCGAUCCAAAUAUACACAAUUAACGGUUUAAUUCGUAAUUCUGUUGUGUUUUUUCCCGUAACCUUCACGGCGGAACGCGUGUGGAUAUUAUAAUCUUACGGAGCUAAUGAGGUUUGGAUGAUCGGCCUUUUAUUUAAUUCCAUGGGGGAUGUUAAUUGCGCUACGUCUUCAUUACACAAAUGGAUUACCAAAAAAUGAGAGCUCGCAGCAGAGCAUGAGGGAGAAAGGGAGGAAAUUGAGAGAGAGAGAUUGAGAAAGGGGGGAUAUUUUCAUUCCUUCUUUAAUAAGACAGCAUUCAAAUAAUGCAACACUACUCGCAAACAAGCAGAGAAAAGCUCCUGCAAUGCUUGGCAAUGCUAGUCUCUUCAAGUGCUAUCCUGGAAAACCUGGUCUCUCUGCCUCCUCUCCUUUCCUCUCUGCUCUCUACAGCUCCAGUCCUCAGCUCUGGGGACUUUGCCUUCACUUCUCUGGAUGUGGAUCUUACAAAACAGGAGCGAGAAAAUACCCUGCCUGGAAUUUAAUUUCUCUCAAUUGGAUAUUAUUAGUGUUCUCCAAUAAUUAGCAUUGAGCUUUGUUCCAGUGGUGUCUGUCGUUGGCGCCGGGCGAAGCGGAAUGGAGAGGAGACAACAGACACUGUGGCGGGCACAGGCUAAUGUCCUCUGUGCUUAAUCAUCCUUCAGCAGAAUGGUUUUAUGCAUAUUUCAUUUGCAUAUCAUUAAAUCGCUAAGGCACAUUGGCAACUGGCAGCGGAGAGCGAGGGAGUGGAAAUGGAGGAGCCUAAAGUGUAAAAAAAAGAAAGAGCGACUCAUUAUGCGAUGGCAAUCUUCAAAGCCAUGCGCCUGCUUUCCGGCAACCUGCCAAUUCGUUUUAAUUCAACGUUAAUUAAAAAAAGUGGGCGCGCUCAACCUUUCCAACUCGGAUUAAUUGAGUGUCUUCCAAUCUGUGCAGCAAGGACUCGUCAUACAUACAGUAUGUGUGUGUGUGUAUGUAAAUGAUGUGGAUAUCUAUGGUUAUAGUCAAUUAUUAUAGGACGAUUUGGAAAAAAAUGUAAUCCCUCUAAUCACAGGACCUUGUCACAGAAUGGAUUUUCCCCCCCUAUUUUUUCGCAGAAGACUUAGCGGAGAACAAAUCGCAAAUAUGUUUUCUGUGAUCUCUGGAUAUCAUUAAUACAACAAAAUCAUGUUGAUGAGGAAGCGGGCAUUUUGCUCUUAAUUAUGUUUGACCUGCUGUAAUGGUUCAACAUUCUAUACUUGGCAAGUCGGCAAGCUGCUGCUGGCAGAGGCGGGCAGCGCCAGCAGGUCGGGGUGUGGGACCAGGGACCAAGGGAUCUGAAACCUGGUGACUUGCAGCACGGGGAUAGGCGUGGGAAUCACUGUCGCAAACCUUCCCCAUGAUGUCCCUGGGAAAAGACUAAAUCAACCGCCCACACAUGCUAACCCCCCCCCAAUCUGAAAAAUAAAUGUUGUGUAAUUUAUGCGCAAAUUAAUAUGCUUGCCUGGACUCUGAUUGCCUGUAUUAAAUCAUUACAGGCGAUUAA